rnacentral:rRNA from 1 species
UAAUGCAUGCAAGUCGCACGCAGGUGCCUUCGGGGACCUGAGUGGCGCACGGCUGAGGACCACGUGGGAACAUGCCCGGUAGUGGGGGACAACAGCGCGAAAGCGGUGCUAAUCCCGCAUACGCUCGCAAGAGGAAAGCGUGCAAACGCGCUGCCGGAGUGGCCCGCGGCCCAUCAGGUCGUCGGUGGGGUAACGGCCUACCGAGCCGAUGACGGGUAGCUGGUCUGUGAGGACAGACAGCCAGACUGGGACUGAGACACGGCCCAGACUCCUACGGGAGGCAGCAGCAAGGAAUUUUCGUCAAUGGGCGCAAGCCUGAACGAGCAACGCCGCGUGGAGGAUGACGGCCUUCGGGUUGUAAACUCCUUUUUCGGGGGACGAUGAUGACGGUACCCCGGGAAUAAGGCUCGGCUAACUCUGUGCCAGCAGCCGCGGUAAGACAGAGGAGCCAAGCGUUGUCCGGAUUGACUGGGCGUAAAGCGCACGCAGGCGGGUGCGCGCGUGGGGUGUGAAAUCUGGCCGCUUAACGGCCAGGCGCCAUCCCAUACGGCGCGCCUGGAGCCUUGCAGAGGGCGGUGGAAUUGCCGGUGUAGUGGUGAAAUGCGUAGAGAUCGGCAGGAACACCCAGGGGGAAACCAGCCGCCUGGGCAAGCGCUGACGCUGAGGUGCGAGAGCGUGGGGAGCGAACCGGAUUAGAUACCCGGGUAGUCCACGCCGUAAACGAUGGCCACUCGGCCUUUGGCGGCGGAACCUCCGUCGCUGGGGGCCUUAGCUAACGCGGGAAGUG